rnacentral:misc_RNA from 1 species
CUUAAGUAUAAACUCUCUGCGAUGUAGUCCCGCCCGUUUUGAUCUAUUUUUUUGUUUUUUUUUUGUUUGUUUGUUUGGAAUCAAAGAAAGGAAAGGAAAAGAAAAGAAAAAGAAAAGAAAGGGAUUAUUAUUGUUAUUAUUAUUAGGGCGGUUCAGGUCGUAUGAUGUUUUGUGGUGUAUUGAAAGAUCGAAUUCAGAAUUGGCUUCGCGAUUAUGAUAGGCUUCAGUACUUGGCUGUCAUCCUCAUUUAUAUUCAGAUUGGGUGCGC